rnacentral:rRNA from 1 species
UAACACGUAGGAGACGAGCGUUAUCCGGAUUUACUGGGCGUAAAGCGCGUGCAGGCGGUUCAGCAAGUUGGAUGUGAAAGCUCCCGGCUUAACUGGGAGAGGUCGUUCAAUACUACUGGACUAGAGAGUGGUAGAGGGAGGUGGAAUUCCGGGUGUAGUGGUGAAAUGCGUAGAUAUCCGGAGGAACACCAGUGGCGAAGGCGGCCUCCUGGACCACUUCUGACGCUCAGACGCGAAAGCUAGGGUAGCGAACGGGAUUAGAGACCCCGGUAGUCCUAGCCGUAAACGAUGUAGACUUGGCGUUGGUGGGUUCAAAUCCAUCAGUGCCGAAGCUAACGCGAUAAGUCUACCGCCUGGGGACUACGGUCGCAAG